AUUGAACGCUGGCGGCAGGCCUAACACAUGCAAGUCGAACGGUAACAGGAAGCAGCUUGCUGCUUUGCUGACGAGUGGCGGACGGGUGAGUAAUGUCUGGGAAACUGCCUGAUGGAGGGGGAUAACUACUGGAAACGGUAGCUAAUACCGCAUAACGUCGCAAGACCAAAGAGGGGGACCUUCGGGCCUCUUGCCAUCGGAUGUGCCCAGAUGGGAUUAGCUAGUAGGUGGGGUAACGGCUCACCUAGGCGACGAUCCCUAGCUGGUCUGAGAGGAUGACCAGCCACACUGGAACUGAGACACGGUCCAGACUCCUACGGGAGGCAGCAGUGGGGAAUAUUGCACAAUGGGCGCAAGCCUGAUGCAGCCAUGCCGCGUGUAUGAAGAAGGCCUUCGGGUUGUAAAGUACUUU
rnacentral:rRNA from 1 species